rnacentral:rRNA from 1 species
AAGAGUUCUAUAACUCCCAAACCCAUGUGAACAUACCAAACGUUGCCUCGGCAGGUCGCACCUACCUCGUAGCACCCUACCCUGUAAGGCCUACCCGGAACGUGCGGGUAAGCCUGCCGGCGGCCCAUUAAACUCUGUUUGAUAUUGAAUUCUGAACCUAUAACUAAAUAAGUUAAAACUUUCAACAACGGAUCUCUUGGUUCUGGCAUCGAUGAAGAACGCAGCGAAAUGCGAUAAGUAAUGUGAAUUGCAGAAUUCAGUGAAUCAUCGAAUCUUUGAACGCAUAUUGCGCCCAUUAGUAUUCUAGUGGGCAGGACCGUUCGAGCGUCAUUUCGACCCUUAAGCCUUAGUUGCUUAGUGUUGGGAGCCUACGGCGACGUAGCUCCCCAAAGUUAGUGGCGGAGUUGGUUCACACUCUAGACGUAGUAAUUUUUUAUCUCGCCUAUUAGUUGGACCGAUCCCCUGCCGUAAAACCCCCAACUUCUCAAGGUUGACCUCGAAUCGGUUCAGACAAA